rnacentral:rRNA from 1 species
UACGUAGGGUGCAAGCGUUGUCCGGAAUUAUUGGGCGUAAAGAGCUCGUAGGCGGUCUGUCGCGUCGGCUGUGAAAACUCGGGGCUCAACUCCGAGCUUGCAGUCGAUACGGGCAAGCUAGAGUUCGGUAGGGGAGAUUGGAAUUCCUGGUGUAGCGGUGAAAUGCGCAGAUAUCAGGAGGAACACCGGUGGCGAAGGCGGGUCUCUGGGCCGAUACUGACGCUGAGGAGCGAAAGCGUGGGGAGCGAACAGG